rnacentral:lncRNA from 1 species
GCUGCACCACUAGAAAGAUGGCAGUAGCAAGACAGAAGAAAGGAAAAGGGCUCAGGUUUAAGCGACUGGAAUCAUUCCUACAUGAUUCCUGGCGGCAGAAACGUGACAAGGUGCGUCUCAGACGACUAGAAGUGAAACCUCAUGCCUUGGAAUUGCCAGAUAAACAUUCCUUGGCCUUUGUUGUACGCAUCGAAAGGAUUGAUGGCGUGAGUUUACGGGUGCAGAGAACCACUGCAAGACUUCGCCUAAAGAAAAUUUUUAGUGGUAUCUUUGUAAAAGUUACCCCCUAGAAUCUAAAAAUGCUGCAUAUAGUGGAACCUUAUGUGACCUGGGGAUUUCCAAAUCUGAAGUCUGUCCGAGAACUCAUUUUGAAACGUGGACAAGCCAAGGUCAAGAAUAAGACCAUCCCUCUGACAGACAACACAGUGAUUGAGGAGCACCUGGGGAAGUUUGGCUUCAUUUGCUUGGAAGACCUCAUUCAUGAAAUUGCCUUCCCAGGGAAGCAUUUCCAGGAGAUCUCAUGGUUCUUGCGCCCUUUCCACCUCUCAGUGGCCCAUCAUGCUACCAAAAAUAGAGUGGGCUUCCUCAAGGAGAUGGGCACACCUGGCUAUCGGGGUGAACGCAUCAAUCAGCUCAUCCGUCAGCUGAACUAGACCCAGGUGAGGCAGGGCUGAAAACUGCCCUUGGGCUGACUUUUGAUAGGCCAUGCCUUGCCACUUUACAAGUUCUUUUUGCAUUUACUAGUAUUUAAGAGUAACCUUGAGAUUGGGAGGAAAGAGGAGGCUGGUACAAAUAGAUGGAGACCUGCUGGGAUCAGUGAAUGCCUGAUUAGGACAUGGGGCUAUGCAUAGCCUAAGAGUUAUAGGCUUAAAGAUGUCGAGUAACUAAAAACUGUAUUGCUGGCCGGGCGCGGUGGCUCACGCCUGUAAUCCCAGCACUUUGGGAGGCCAAGGCGGGCAGACCAUGAGGUCAGGAGAUUGAGACCAUCCUGGCCAACAUGGUGAAACCCUGUCUCUACUAAAAAUACAAAAAUGAGCUGGGUGUGGUGGCACGUGCCUGUAGUCCCAGCUACUCGAGAGGCUAAGGCAGGAAAAUCGCUUGAACCCAGGAGGCAGAGACUGCAGUGAGCCAAGAUUGCGCCAGUGCACUCCAGCUGGGCGACAGAGCGAGACUCCAUCUCAAAAAACAAACAAACAAACAAACAAACAAACAAAAAACUAUUGCUGCAGUCAUUCAGAUGGAAAUGGGGAAAGAAUAAUAUUAAUAACUGAUUUCAAAAAGGACUUGAAGAUGUGAAUCAUCUAUUUUGCUGAAGAAAUCUUAACUUUUUGAAAUUACUUUUUAUUGCUGUUGUCAUACUCUUAGGUGACAAACUGCGGUAAAUUUUUUAUCAGUGAAGUGGAAGCAUGCGUUUUGUUGUUUUGGGAAUUUUUAUCAAGUAUCUUCAGAGAAGAUUAUUUCCUGCUUUAUCUUCAAAAACUGGAAAGGAAGGGUCAAAGAAAAGACAGUAGCUGGCCGGUCGUGGUGGCUCAUGCCUGUAAUCCCAACACUUUGGGAGGCUGAGGCAGGCAGAUCACCUGAGGUUGGGAGUUCGAGACCAGCCUGACCAACAUGGAGAAAUGCCAUCUCUACUAAAAAUACAAAAAUUAGCCGGGCAUGGUGGCACGUGCCUGUAAUCCCAGCUACUCAGGAGGCUGAGGCAGGAGAAUCGCUUGAACCUGGGAGGUGGAAGUUGCAGUGAGCUGAGAUCACGCCAUUGCACUCCAGCCUGGGCAACAAGCGAAACUCUGUCUCAAAAAAAAAGAAAAGACAGUAGCUUAUGUUCAUGUCAAGCACCUCUCAUCACAGUCUAGUUCCAAGGAAAAAUUCCAGCGUUUUCUACAUUGGGUGCUGUGUCAUCUGAAAUCGGCACAUUCCAUGGAGGAAGGAGUCCUGCUUUGUUGCAUGUAUCCUAGGGUUUAAUGUUGGUAAAUGAGUCACUCUAGCAUUUGUAGAAGGCUCCCUGAGACUCC